ACGGAAGGCAGCAGUGGGGAAUAUUGGGCAAUGGGCGCAAGCCUGACCCAGCAACGCCGCGUGAGGGAAGAAGGUUUUCGGAUUGUAAACCUCUGUCCUAGGUGACGAAGGAAGUGACGGUAGCCAAGGAGGAAGCCCCGGCUAACUACGUGCCAGCAGCCGCGGUAAUACGUAGGGGGCGAGCGUUGUCCGGAAUGACUGGGCGUAAAGGGCGUGUAGGCGGCUUUUUAAGUCUGGAGUGAAAGUCCUGCUUUUAAGGUGGGAAUUGCUUUGGAGACUGGAGAGCUUGAGUGCGGAAGAGGUAAGUGGAAUUCCCAGUGUAGCGGUGAAAUGCGUAGAGAUUGGGAGGAACACCAGUGGCGAAGGCGGCUUACUGGACUGUAACUGACACUGAGGCUCGAAAGCGUGGGGAGCAAACAGGAUUAGAUACCCUGGUA
rnacentral:rRNA from 1 species